rnacentral:lncRNA from 1 species
AGAUUUUCAAGCUGUUUGCCGUGGGUCCAUGGGUGAGCCAUGCCCUUGUCUCCCUCUUUCUCAUGUUUUCUAAUCAUUGGUACAGGCUACUCUGCUCUCUCAUGCUUCUUGGUGAAAGUGGAUUCUUUUGAGGAGAUAUUGGGGUUAGGGCUGCUGCUGAGUAUAUUUCUGGUUCCUACAGGUAAAAAUAUAUUAAGUAUCAAGGGAAGCUGUAGGUGAGGGCAGAGUAGAUCUUGGGGGUGUAAAUCCCUGGGCAUAGCAGACUUUCAAAGAUGAUGUGGGUCCAAAGGGAGAUCAUCAAGCAGUAAACGGUCUUAGGUAUUAUCUGGGUAACAGGUAGAAUAAACAGAAAAUUUCACCAAGGUAAAUAUAUGGUAUGGUGAAUGGGUGGAGUUGAAACGUAGGUUGCAGGUAUCUAAGGGGCCCUGGAGGUAUGGACAGAUCUGCUGGGCUGGAUGGUGGGGGAAGGGUUGUGGGUUCAUCUCUCCUGUGUUGUCCCCUCCCCUCCCCUCAAGAACCUUUGGUGUCUGUGCUAAAGCUCUGUGACGUGGGCCUGGAACUCUAGUCUAGAGUGUGCACUCUUAAUGCCCAGCUGCCUGAGGCAGCAAUGCAUUUCCCAUGACGAGGACCACCUUCCCCGUUUGAGGAGCCUUACUGCACCAUGGCUGAGCUCCAGCUCAUCUUCCUAGGUAUUCCCAUCCUUGCCUUCAUGGGUGGGAUGGUGCUCAUUCUUCUGUCAUUGUGCCACCUACAGAGAAAUCCAUGUUUUCCAAUAUUUUGGAAACAGAGAUGUCAAUCAGCGUAAGGGCAGAGCCAAGAGAAGAAGGAAAGGUGGAACAUCGAGAGGGAGAAGAGCGUCUUCCUCAAGCGUCUCUCAGGAGCUGAUAAAGGUUAAGAGGUAAAAGGUGAGUAGGAGACAACUUGGCAAAGCAGGG